UGAGAGGGACGUUUAGUUUG
rnacentral:misc_RNA from 1 species